rnacentral:rRNA from 1 species
GAUGAACGCUGGCGGCGUGCCUAAUACAUGCAAGUCGAGCGAACGGACGAGAAGCUUGCUUCUCUGAUGUUAGCGGCGGACGGGUGAGUAACACGUGGAUAACCUACCUAUAAGACUGGGAUAACUUCGGGAAACCGGAGCUAAUACCGGAUAAUAUUUUGAACCGCAUGGUUCAAAAGUGAAAGACGGUCUUGCUGUCACUUAUAGAUGGAUCCGCGCUGCAUUAGCUAGUUGGUAAGGUAACGGCUUUCCAAGGCAACGAUGCAUAGCCGACCUGCGAGGGUGAGCGGCCACGCGGGAGCGGAGACACGCACCGGACCCGUGCGGGAGGCAGCAGUAGGGAAUCUUCCGCAAGGGGCGAAAGCCGGACGGAGCAACGCCGCGUGAGUGAUGAAGGUCGUCGGAUCGUAAAACUCUGUUAUGAGGGAAGAACAUAUGGUAAGUAACGGUGCGCAUCUGGAGGGUACCUAAUCAGAAAGCCACGGCUAACUACGU